rfam:Helianthus annuus linkage group 11, whole genome shotgun sequence.
CUUUAAGGUGAUGAGAAAGUUGUCGGAAAAUAUGAUGUUGAUUGAUAAAUACUUCCAGACUACAAUUAUCUGAUUAAUG